rnacentral:rRNA from 1 species
AUAUCAAUAAGCGGAGGAAAAGAAACCAACAGGGAUUGCCUUAGUAACGGCGAGUGAAGCGGCAAAAGCUCAGAUUUGAAAUCUGGUGCCAUAAAGGCAUCUGAGUUGUAAUCUGUAGAGGAGUAUUCGAGUGUGGCUUUGGCUUAAGUUCCUUGGAACAGGGCGUCAAAGAGGGUGAGAACCCCGUUUGCGGCCUUUGUCCUAUGCUCAUGUGAAUCUCCUUCAACGAGUCGAGUUGUUUGGGAAUGCAGCUCUAAAUGGGUGGUAAAUUCCAUCUAAAGCUAAAUACUGGCAAGAGACCGAUAGCGCACAAGUAGAGUGAUCGAAAGAUGAAAAGAUCUCUGAACAGAGAGUUAAAUAGUAC